CGUGUGUUUUUAAAUGUUUGAUUCACGCUUAUUUUUCGAUCCGUGACUGCAAUACUUUUGACGGGAAAUUGAUCCUAUAGUCACGGAAGCCCUGAACAGCCAUGCAUUAUUCCUUUUUUUCUGUUGUUUUCUCGUGAUCUUGACAUCUUUUUCUCACGAUAUAAUUUAAUUGUGAGAAAAUCUCGCACUUGAAUGGGACUGGUGUUACAUGCACGUUGGCAUCUUCGCCAUCAUAAAUGUAAUAUUUUCUCGCUAUAGAGAUGGACGUUAUCUCGGCAUUAAGAGAGAGGGGUGUCCCCCUUCUCAGGACAUUAAUGUGGAAGUCGUCACUCCUGCAGGGAUGACGGUUUUUUUUUUGUAGGCCACCCCAGAAGUUGGCAUCACUCUGAUUCCCUCGACAAUACCCAAUACUCACCACUCGUUCUCCAUUGUACAGACAACCGCAGUCAACUGCCGUCACUGCCAUCGUCGACUGCCAUCAUUGUCUGCCAUCAUUGUCCUGCUGAAACAGUCAGAUAACAAAGGCCGACCUAUGCUACAGCCAAG
ensembl:lncRNA